AAGGAUCAUUAUCACAUGAUUCCAUGUAUAAACCAUUCGUGCACUGUUAAACAACUGAAACCCCCUUUAAACUUUUGAACUAACGUUUUCAUACUCCAAUAAAACGGAGAUGAAAUUCUUACGAAACAAAGAACAACUCUUAGCAACGGAUAUCUUGGUUCUC
rnacentral:misc_RNA from 1 species